AAUCCAGUCAUUAAACGGUCUACAAAACAUAUGCCAGAUUACAUAAAAGUCUAUGUACAAUAUAAAAAGAGCUGAAAACAGUCUUCACUGUAAAAAUAAUUUAAAACAAAUUUUUCAAUUUAAAAUAUUGUCUAUAGCACAAACACAUCAUGCAAAUGGAAAACUAAAUAUACUGCAUUCUUUAGUGUAGCCAAAUAAAUUCAGUUAUCUUUUAGGUAGGGAAAUGAGCUACUUAAUACUUUUCUCCUCUGGCAGUAAUGGUCCUA
rnacentral:lncRNA from 1 species